rnacentral:rRNA from 1 species
UACGUAGGGUGCAAGCGUUUAAUCGGAAUUACUGGGCGUAAAGCGUGCGCAGGCGGUUUUGUAAGUCUGUCGUGAAAUCCCCGGGCUCAACCUGGGAAUUGCGAUGGAGACUGCAAGGCUAGAAUCUGGCAGAGGGGGGUAGAAUUCCACGUGUAGCAGUGAAAUGCGUAGAGAUGUGGAGGAACACCGAUGGCGAAGGCAGCCCCCUGGGUCAAGAUUGACGCUCAUGGCACGAAAGGCGUGGGGAGCAAACAGG